GAUGAACGCUGACAGAAUGCUUAACACAUGCAAGUCUACUUGAACUUCGGUUUGGGUGGCGGACGGGUGAGUAACGCGUAAAGAACUUGCCUCACAGUUAGGGACAACAUUUGGAAACGAAUGCUAAUACCUGAUAUUAUGAUUUUAGGGCAUCCUAGGAUUAUGAAAGCUAUAUGUGCUGCGAGAGAGCUUUGCGUCCCAUUAGCUAGUUGGAGAGGUAACGGCUCACCAAGGCGAUGAUGGGUAGCCGGCCUGAGAGGGUGAACGGCCACAAGGGGACUGAGACACGGCCCUUACUCCUACGGGAGGCAGCAGUGGGGAAUAUUGGACAAUGGACCAAAAGUCUGAUCCAGCAAUUCUGUGUGCACGAUGACGUUUUUCGGAAUGUAAAGUGCUUUCAGUUGGGAAGAAAAAAAUGACGGUACCAACAGAAGAAGAGACGGCUAAAUACGUG
rnacentral:rRNA from 1 species